rnacentral:rRNA from 1 species
UUGGAGAGUUUGAUCCUGGCUCAGGACGAACGCUGGCGGCGUGCUUAACACAUGCAAGUCGAACGAUGAACCACUUCGGUGGGGAUUAGUGGCGAACGGGUGAGUAACACGUGGGCAAUCUGCCCUGCACUCUGGGACAAGCCCUGGAAACGGGGUCUAAUACCGGAUACUGAUCCUCGCAGGCAUCUGCGAGGUUCGAAAGCUCCGGCGGUGCAGGAUGAGCCCGCGGCCUAUCAGCUAGUUGGUGAGGUAACGGCUCACCAAGGCGACGACGGGUAGCCGGCCUGAGAGGGCGACCGGCCACACUGGGACUGAGACACGGCCCAGACUCCUACGGGAGGCAGCAGUGGGGAAUAUUGCACAAUGGGCGAAAGCCUGAUGCAGCGACGCCGCGUGAGGGAUGACGGCCUUCGGGUUGUAAACCUCUUUCAGCAGGGAAGAAGCGAAAGUGACGGUACCUGCAGAAGAAGCGCCGGCUAACUACGUGCCAGCAGCCGCGGUA